GCUGGCACUUCAAGGCUUGAGCCGUACUGCAUACAGAUCAGUAGGUCCCGGGUUCGACUCCUGGUGCCGGCACCA
rnacentral:tRNA from 1 species